rnacentral:rRNA from 1 species
UACAGAGGGUGCGAGCGUUGUCCGGAAUCAUUGGGCGUAAAGCGCGUGUAGGCGGCCCGGUAAGUCCGCUGUGAAAGUCGGGGGCUCAACCCUCAAAUGCCGGUGGAUACUGUCGGGCUAGAGUGCGGAAGAGGCGAGUGGAAUUCUGGUGUAGCGGUGAAAUGCGCAGAUAUCAGGAGGAACACCAAUUGCGAAGGCAGCUCGCUGGGACGUGACUGACGCUGAGACGCGAAAGCGUGGGGAGCGAACAGG